rnacentral:rRNA from 1 species
AGUGAACGCUGGCGGUAGGCCUAACACAUGCAAGUCGAACGGCAGCACAGUAAGAGCUUGCUCUUACGGGUGGCGAGUGGCGGACGGGUGAGGAAUACAUCGGAAUCUACUUUUUCGUGGGGGAUAACGUAGGGAAACUUACGCUAAUACCGCAUACGACCUACGGGUGAAAGCAGGGGAUCUUCGGACCUUGCGCGAUUGAGUGAGCCGAUGUCGGAUUAGCUAGUUGGCGGGGUAAAGGCCCACCAAGGCGACGAUCCGUAGCUGGUCUGAGAGGAUGAUCAGCCACACUGGAACUGAGACACGGUCCAGACUCCUACGGGAGGCAGCAGUGGGGAAUAUUGGACAAAGGGCGCAAGCCUGAUCCAGCCAUACCGCGUGGGUGAAGAAGGCCUUCGGGUUGUAAAGCCCUUUUGUUGGGAAAGAAAAGCAGCAGGUUAAUACCCCGCUGUUCUGACGGUACCCAAAGAAUAAGCACCGGCUAACUUCGUG